rnacentral:rRNA from 1 species
CGGCGAGUGAAGCGGGAAGAGCUCAAAUUUGAAAUCUUCAAGGUUCUACCUUGACGAAUUGUAGUUUAAAGAAGUGUUUUCUGUUAGAUGAGUAGCAAAAGUUCCUUGGAAUGGGACAUCAUAGAGGGUGAGAAUCCCGUAUUUGGUUAUUCAUUCUAGCUUUGUGAUACACUUUCAAAGAGUCGGAUUGUUUGGGAAUGCAGUCCAAAAUGGGUGGUAAAUUUCAUCUAAAGCUAAAUAUUGGCGAGAGACCGAUAGCGAACAAGUACCGUGAGGGAAAGAUGAAAAGAACUUUGAAAAGAGAGUUAAACAGUACGUGAAAUUGUCAAAAGGGAAGCGUUUGACACCAGUGUUGUUUUUCCGAAAAUCAAUUACGAAUGGCUUGAUUUUGUGUUGUAUUGACCUUAUCAGCUUUCUUCACUUUUUUCGAGUCUUUCUUAAUGCACUUUUCGGUUAACAAGUCAACAUCAAUUUCUUUUGUUGUAAAAGAGUAUUCGGAAGGUGGCUUUCUUUUCGGAGAAAGUGUUUAUAGCCCUAUACUUCUACAAUCGGAGAGAUUGAGGUCUGCAGCGUAGAUCCUUCGGGGUUAGAUACACUUGUGCUAAGUUGUAGCUUUUCAUAGACAACUUGUUGACUAUGUUUAGUCAUGCGGCUUACUCGCUUGUGCUAUUUUACCUACGCUUAGGAUGUUGACAAAAUGGUUUUAAACGACCCGUCU